UUGAAUCAACAAUAUAGACUUUUUUGUGUACAUAUCUCUAUAAGAUUUUCUCACAUCAAUAUUUAAAGUUUUUUGUUUUAUUAGAAAAGUUGAUUGGAUGUGGGAUGUGACAAAAGUGACAAGCAUUUUAAUCAUUUUUAUAGUUUUUUUGUUUGCAUUUAAAAUUUGAAAAUUAAUAUGUUAUAACAUCAUAACAUUCAUGCAUGCUUGCCACGUACAUCUCCUCUCCUAUCAACAUAUAUAUAUGAUGUCUAACUCUACUAUUAUAUAUACUUAAUUAUAUUGAAGGAACCAUUCAAAAAAAAAAAUUUAUAUUGAAGGAAAAGAAAGAAACUUAGAACACCGGCUGAGAUGAUGAGAUAAUUCAUGGCUGAGAUGAUGAGGGGAAGGAAGACCAUGAAGGUUGUUUCCCCACACACACAGUAUAAAUGUUAUGCUGUUGGGCUUGGGCAGUACAAAAGUAAUGAAAUUGGGCUGGGGCAGUAAAAAUGUUAUUUUUGCCGUGUCCCAGUAUAAUUGUAAAGUUUUGGUCCAAAAACAGUAUUUUUGUAAAAUUCCCUU